CCUACGGGUGGCAGCAGUGGGGAAUAUUGGACAAUGGGGGCAACCCUGAUCCAGCCAUGCCGCGUGUGUGAAGAAGGCCCUCGGGUUGUAAAGCACUUUCAGUGAGGAAGAACGCCUGGUGGUUAAUACCCAUCAGGAAAGACAUCACUCACAGAAGAAGCACCGGCUAACUCCGUGCCAGCAGCCGCGGUAAUACGGAGGGUGCGAGCGUUAAUCGGAAUUACUGGGCGUAAAGCGCGCGUAGGUGGCUUGAUAAGCCGGUUGUGAAAGCCCCGGGCUCAACCUGGGAACGGCAUCCGGAACUGUCAAGCUAGAGUGCAGGAGAGGAGAGUGGAAUUCCCGGUGUAGCGGUGAAAUGCGUAGAGAUCGGGAGGAAUACCAGUGGCGAAGGCGGCCAUCUGGACUGACACUGACACUGAGGUGCGAAAGCGUGGGUAGCAAACAGGAUUAGAUACCCCUGUAGUC
rnacentral:rRNA from 1 species